GUCAGCACCCCGUACUGAAGUAACGGGGCUUCAUGCCUCGGAUUCCUCAGUUAGUUGACCAGUCUAAGCCUUAACUGGCUACGUUAUUUAAGCCAUGAUACCUUGAGGUGCUUGCCAGCCUCUCGCUCUAUCGUUAACUAUUAAACAUCUUUACAAGGGGUAAGGAAGUGUAGUUAGCCCAAAAAGCUUUUAUAACAUUGACGAGGCAAACUUUAC
rfam:Arthrospira platensis NIES-39 DNA, nearly complete genome.